rnacentral:rRNA from 1 species
UUCCGGUUGAUCCUGCCGGCGGCCACCGCUAUAGGAAUUCGAUUAAGACAUGCGAGUCGAGAGUCUUCGGGACUCGGCGGACUGCUCAGUAACACGUGGAGAACGUGCCCUUAAGUGGAGGAUAAUCUCGGGAAAUUGAGGAUAAUACUCCAUAGAUCAUGGGAUCUGGAAUGACCCAUGGUUGAAAGUUCCGGCGCUUAAGGAUCGCCCUGCGGCUUAUCAGGUUGUAGUGGGUGUAACGUACCCCCUAGCCAGUGACGAGUAUGGGCCUUGAGAGAGGGAGCCCAGAGUUGGAUUCUGAGACACGAAUCCAGGCCCUACGGGGCGCAGCAGUCGCGAAAACUUCACACUGGGGGCAACCCCGAUGAGGGAAUUCCUAGUGCUAGGACAUUUGUUCUAGCUUUUCUCUAGCGUAGAUAACUAGAGGAAUAAGGGCUGGGUAAGACGGGUGCCAGCCGCCGCGGUAAUACCUGCAGCCCAAGUGGUGGUCGAUUUUAUUGAGUCUAAAGCGUUCGUAGCCGGUUUGAUAAAUCCUUGGGUAAAUCGGGAGGCUUAACUUUCCGACUUCCGAGGAGACUGUCAAACUUGGGACCGGGAGAGGCUAGAGGUACUUCUGGGGUAGGGGUAAAAUCCUGUAAUCCUAGAAGGACCACCGGUGGCGAAGGCGUCUAGCUAGAACGGAUCCGACGGUGAGGGACGAAGCCCUGGGUCGCAAACGGGAUUAGAUACCCCGGUAGUCCAGGGUGUAAACGCUGCCGACUUGGUGUUGGAGGCCCUUCGGGGGCAUUCAGUGCCGGAGAGAAGUUGUUAAGUCGGCCACUUGGGGAGUACGUCCGCAAGGAUGAAACUUAAAGGAAUUGGCGGG